rnacentral:rRNA from 1 species
UCUCGAGUAAACGAUGGAUGCCGUGUGAGCAACACACACUGUUGCUAGGGACAAGGAAUGCUUUAAGCAUCCCACGUGGGGGAGUACGCUGCAACGGUGAACUCAAAGGAUGACGGGGCCGCACAAGCGGAGGAACAUGUGGUUUAAUCGAUGAUACGCGAGGAACCUUUACCCGGGGCUUGGACUGCAGGAGAACGAUUCAGAGAUGAUGAGGUCUUCGGGACUCCUGUGGAGGUGCUGCAUGGUUGUCGUCAGCUCGUGCCGUGAGGUGUCGGCUUAAGUGCCAUAACGAGCGCAACCCUUUUCUCCAGUUGCCAUCACUUUGGGUGGGCACUCUGGAGACACUGCCACCGUAAGGUGUGAGGAAGGUGGGGAUGACGUCAAAUCAGCACGGCCCUUACGUCCGGGGCUACACACGUGUUACAAUGGGUGGUACAGAGAGUUGGCCCCAGCAAUGUGGAUCUAAUCCUUAAAGCCAUCCUCAGUUCGGAUUGGGGUCUGCAACCCGACCCCAUGAAGCUGGAUUCGCUAGUAAUCGCGCAUCAGCCAUGGCGCGGUGAAUACGUUCCCGGGCCUUGUACACACCGCCCGUCAAGCCAUGAAAGCUGGGGGCGCUUGAAGUCCGUGACCGCAAGGAUCGGCCUAGAGCGAAACCGGUAAUUGGGGCUAAGUCGUAACAAGGU